AUUGAACGCUGGCGGCAGGCCUAACACAUGCAAGUCGAGCGGAUGAAGGGAGCUUGCUCCUGGAUUCAGCGGCGGACGGGUGAGUAAUGCCUAGGAAUCUGCCUGGUAGUGGGGGAUAACGUCCGGAAACGGGCGCUAAUACCGCAUACGUCCUGAGGGAGAAAGUGGGGGAUCUUCGGACCUCACGCUAUCAGAUGAGCCUAGGUCGGAUUAGCUAGUUGGUGGGGUAAAGGCCUACCAAGGCGACGAUCCGUAACUGGUCUGAGAGGAUGAUCAGUCACACUGGAACUGAGACACGGUCCAGACUCCUACGGGAGGCAGCAGUGGGGAAUAUUGGACAAUGGGCGAAAGCCUGAACCAGACAUGCCGCGUGUGUGAAGAAGGUCUUCGGAUUGUAAAGCACUUUAAGUUGGGAGGAAGGGCAGUAAGUUAAUAACUUGCUGUUUUGACGUUACCAACAGAAUAAGCACCGGCUAACUUCGUG
rnacentral:rRNA from 1 species